GUGCGAGACCGAUAGCGAACAAGUACCGUGAGGGAAAGAUGAAAAGAACUUUGAAAAGAGAGUUAAAGAGUACCUGAAACUGCUGAAAGGGAACCGAAUCGUAUCCAGUGUCUAUAAUCCAUGGCAUAUUUCAUUGGCGAGUGAGUGCGUGCAGCGUUUUGGAAGUGGUUUUCCGCUCCUGUCGUUGUUGUGCAUUUGCUUGCUGGUGCCCUGUGCUGUGGUGGGACGUCGGAGUCAGUUUGUAUGUUGCGGGAAAUGGUUAUUGGGGAGGUAGGUCACUUCGGUGGCUGUUAUAUCCUGGUAACUAGUCGUCGUGGCUGAGACUGAGGUGCCUACAAUGUGCUUUCGAGUGUGCGGGAUUCUCGUGUGGCUGUUUGCUUUGAUAGCUUGCUAUGUUGGUGAAUAAGUCGUGCGAUUGAGACUUGUAUUAACUUGUUGCUGUUCGGGACUUUGAA
rnacentral:rRNA from 2 species